rnacentral:rRNA from 1 species
GAUGAACGCUGGCGGCGUGCUUAACACAUGCAAGUCGAACGGAAAGGCCCAAGCUUGCUUGGGUUCUCGAUUGGCGAACGGGUGUGUAAAACGUGGGGGAUCUCUCCUGCACUUUCGGGUAAGCCUGCGACACUGGGUCUAUUAUAGGAUAUAAUCAUUGUUUCGUGUUGGUGGUGGAAAGUUUUUCGGUGUGGUAUGAGCUCGCGGACUAUCCGCUUAUUCGUUGGGUAAUGGGCUACCAAGGCGCUGACGGGUAGCCGCACGCUGGGGCUGUACGGCCGUCUUGGGACUGAGAGACGGCCCAGACUGCGACGGGAGGGAGCAGGGGGGAAGAUUGCACAAGGGGCGCAGGCCUGAUGCAGCGACGCCGCGUGUGGGAUGACGGCCUUCGGGUUGUAAACUACUUGCGCAAAGGACGAAGCGUUUUGUGACGGUACUUGGAGAAGAAGCACCGGCUAACUACGUG